AUCAGAUGUCAUGCCCCACAAACACAUGUAUGAAAGUAAAAUCCAAUGGCUACAAACUUGACAGUUACAUACCAAACUUACUGGGCCUAUUUGAGGAGCAAUCGUGAAGACGUUUUGAGACAAGGGACAAUUUAUACUGCGGCAAGAAGGAACAUAUUCCUCCAUCUCAUGUUCUCUAUGAAAAUCUGUGUUCUUGUCAUUUUGUCCCAUCUGUUGGUCUGUCAGUGAAGUUUGCUUCAUCAUUUCUCAAUUGAGUGGAUGUAAUAUAUUAAAAAUCCAUUACGUACAGGU